rnacentral:rRNA from 1 species
CACAUGCAAGUCGAACGGUAACAGGAAGAAGCUUGCUUCUUUGCUGACGAGUGGCGGACGGGUGAGUAAUGUCUGGGAAACUGCCUGAUGGAGGGGGAUAACUACUGGAAACGGUAGCUAAUACCGCAUAACGUCGCAAGACCAAAGAGGGGGACCUUCGGGCCUCUUGCCAUCGGAUGUGCCCAGAUGGGAUUAGCUAGUAGGUGGGGUAACGGCUCACCUAGGCGACGAUCCCUAGCUGGUCUGAGAGGAUGACCAGCCACACUGGAACUGAGACACGGUCCAGACUCCUACGGGAGGCAGCAGUGGGGAAUAUUGCACAAUGGGCGCAAGCCUGAUGCAGCCAUGCCGCGUGUAUGAAGAAGGCCUUCGGGUUGUAAAGUACUUUCAGCGGGGAGGAAGGGAGUAAAGUUAAUACCUUUGCUCAUUGACGUUACCCGCAGAAGAAGCACCGGCUAACUCCGUGCCAGCAGCCGCGGUAAUACGGAGGGUGCAAGCGUUAAUCGGAAUUACUGGGCGUAAAGCGCACGCAGGCGGUUUGUUAAGUCAGAUGUGAAAUCCCCGGGCUCAACCUGGGAACUGCAUCUGAUACUGGCAAGCUUGAGUCUCGUAGAGGGGGGUAGAAUUCCAGGUGUAGCGGUGAAAUGCGUAGAGAUCUGGAGGAUACCGGUGGCGAAG